rnacentral:rRNA from 1 species
GACGAACGCUGGCGGCGUGCUUAACACAUGCAAGUCGAACGAAGAGCGAUGGACGCUUGCUUCUCUCAAUCUUAGUGGCGAACGUGUGAGUAACGCGUAAUCAACCUGCCCUUCAGAGGGGGACAACAGUUGGAAACGACUGCUAAUACCUCAUACGAUCUAACCUCGGCAUCGAGGAAAGAUGAAAGGUGGCCUCUAUGUAUAAGCUAUCACUGAAGGAGGGGAUUGCGUCUGAUUAGCUAGUUGGAGGGGUAACGGCCCACCAAGGCGAUGAUCAGUAGCCGGUCUGAGAGGAUGAACGGCCACAUUGGGACUGAGACACGGCCCAGACUCCUACGGGAGGCAGCAGUGGGGAAUCUUCCGCAAUGGACGAAAGUCUGACGGAGCAACGCCGCGUGAGUGAUGACGGCCUUCGGGUUGUAAAGCUCUGUUAAUCGGGACGAAAGGCCUUCUUGCGAAUAGUGAGAAGGAUUGACGGUACCGGAAUAGAAAGCCACGGCUAACUACGUG